UACAGAGGUCCCAAGCGUUGUUCGGAUUCACUGGGCGUAAAGGGUGCGUAGGCGGUCGGGUAAGUCUGACGUGAAAUCUUCGAGCUUAACUCGGAAACUGCGUCGGAUACUAUUCGGCUGGAGGAAUGGAGGGGAGACUGGAAUACUUGGUGUAGCAGUGAAAUGCGUAGAUAUCAAGUGGAACACCAGUGGCGAAGGCGAGUCUCUGGACAUUUCCUGACGCUGAGGCACGAAAGCCAGGGGAGCAAACGGG
rnacentral:rRNA from 1 species